rnacentral:rRNA from 1 species
UUGGAAUAAGGGGUGGGUAAGGACGGUGCCAGCCGCCGCGGUAAUACCGGCGCCUCAAGUGGUAGUCGAUUUUAUUGGGCCUAAAACGUCCGUAGCCGGUUUGGUACAUUCGUGGGUAAAUCAACCAGCUUAACUGGUUGAAUUCUGCGAGGACGGCCAGACUUGGGACCGGGAGAGGUGUGGGGNACGCUCAGGGUAGGGGUAAAAUCCUGUCAUCCUGAGCGGACCACCUGUUGCGAAGGCGCCACACUAGAACGGAUCCGACGGUCAGGGACGAAGCCUAGGGGCACGAACCGGAUUAGAUACCCGGGUAGUCCUAGGUGUAAACGCUGUGGACUUGGUGUUGGGGAUCCUCCGAG